UUUGGCACAGACCUAGCGCUGGGUGCUGUGUGGCUUGGCUGUUUUGGGGUCUCCGCUGUUAUUCCACUGGGGGUCCCAACAGCUGAACAGAGAUUUGUUGUCAUCUUGCUUGAGCAUCUGAUCCAUUCCUUAAUGUUCAUCCGGUAUUAAAACCAUCAGCCUCUCAUCUAGUCUGAACAUUUUAUGUGAUAUUUCUUGGACUACAUACACAGGAUUGGAAGAACAUUUAAUCAGCAUACU